rnacentral:rRNA from 1 species
AGAGUUUGAUCAUGGCUCAGAACGAACGCUGGCGGCGUGGAUAAGACAUGCAAGUCGAACGCUGAUUAGGAGGUAGCAAUAUUUUCUAGUCGGAGUGGCGCAAGGGUGCGUAACACGUGGGUAAUCUGCCGUGAAGCCUGGGAUAACUCGCUGAAAGGCGAGCUAAUACCGGAUGUGACUGUUGGGGAGCAUUUCCUGACAUUUGAAGCUGGGGACUGUAACAGGCCUGGCCCUUCACGAUGAGCCCGCGGCCUAUCAGCUAGUUGGUGAGGUAACGGCUCACCAAGGCUAAGACGGGUAGCUGGUCUGAGAGGACGACCAGCCACACUGGAACUGAGACACGGUCCAGACACCUGCGGGUGGCAGCAGUCGAGAAUUUUUCACAAUGGGCGCAAGCCUGAUGGAGCGACGCCGCGUGGGGGAUGAAGGGUUUCGAUCCGUAAACCCCUGUCAUUUGCGAACAAACCUUAGUUGUUAACAGCGACUAAGCUGAUUGUAGCGGAAGAGGAAGGGACGGCUAACUCUGUGCCAGCAGCCGCGGUAAUACAGAGGUCCCAAGCGUUGUUCGGAUUCACUGGGCGUAAAGGGUGCGUAGGUGGCCAGGUAAGUUCGGUGUGAAAGCUCGGAGCUUAACUCCGAAAUGGCAUUGAAUACUAUCUGGCUGGAGGGUCGGAGGGGAGACUGGAAUUCUCGGUGUAGCAGUGAAAUGCGUAGAUAUCGAGAGGAACACCAGUGGCGAAGGCGAGUCUCUGGACGACACCUGACACUGAGGCACGAAAGCCAGGGGAGCAAACAGGAUUAGAUACCCUAGUAGUCC